rnacentral:rRNA from 1 species
UACGUAGGUCCCAAGCGUUAUCCGGAAUUACUGGGUGUAAAGCGUCUGUAGGCGGAUAGGUAAGUUUUGUAUGAAAGACCAGAGCUCAACUCCGUGUUUGUGCAAAAAACUGCUUGUCUAGAAUUAGGGAGGGGUAAGCGGAAUGGUAUGAGUAGAGGUGCAAUUCGUAGAUACAUACCAGAACACCAAAAGCGAAGGCAGCUUACUGGAACUAUAUUGACGCUGAGAGACGAAAGCGUGGGGAGCGAAAAGG